AUGGUUACAAAGUUGUUAUCUACCAGCAGUAGUAGUAGUACUAGUUGUAGCAGCAGUAGUAGUAGUACUAGUAAUAGUAGUACUAGUAGUAGCAGCAGCAGUAGUUGUACUAGUUGUAGCAGCAGUAGUAGUAGUACUAGUAGUAGUAGUAGUAAUAGUAGUACUAGAAGUAGCAGCAGCAGUAGUUUCACUAGUUGUAGCAGCAGCAGUAGUAGUAGUAGUAGUACUAGUAGUGUCAGCAGUAGUAGUAGUAGUAGUAAUAGUAGUACCAGUAGUAGCAGCAGCAGUAGUUGUACUAGUUGUAGCAGCAGUAGUAGUAGUAGUAGUAGUAAUAGUAGUACUAGUAGUAGUAGUAAUAGUAAUACUAGUAGUAGCAGCAGCAGUAGUUGUACUAGUUGUAGCAGCAGUAGUAGUAGUAGUAAUAGUAGUACUAGUUGUAGCAGCAGUAGUAGUAGUAGUAGUAGUAAUAGUAAUACUAGUAGUAGCAACAGCAGUAGUUGUACUAGUUGUAGCAGCAGUAGGAUAAGUAGUAAUAGUAGUACUAGUAGUAGCAGCAGCAGUAGUUGUACUAGUUGUAGCAGUAGUAGUAGUAGUAGUAGUAGUAAUAGUAAUACUAGUAGUAGCAACAGCAGUAGUUGUACUAGUUGUAGCAGCAGUAGGAGUAGUAGUAAUAGUAGUACUAGUAGUAGCAGCAGCAGUAGGUGUACUAGUUGUAGCAGUAGUAGUAGUAGUACUAGUAGUAGUAGCAGCAGCAGCAGUUGUACUAGUUGUAGUAGUAGUAGUAGUAGUAGUACUAGUAGUGUCAGCAGCAGCAGUUGUCCUAGUUGUAGCAGCAGUAGUAGUAGUAGUAAUAGUAGUACUAGUUGUAGCAGCAGUAGUAGUAGUAGUAGUAGUAAUAGUAAUACUAGUAGUAGCAACAGCAGUAGUUGUACUAGUUGUAGCAGCAGUAGGAUAAGUAGUAAUAGUAGUACUAGUAGUAGCAGCAGAAGUAGUUGUACUAGUUGUAGCAGUAGUAGUAGUAGUAGUAGUAAUAGUAAUACUAGUAGUAGCAACAGCAGUAGUUGUACUAGUUGUAGCAGCAGUAGGAGUAGUAGUAAUAGUAGUACUAGUAGUAGCAGCAGCAGUAGGUGUACUAGUUGUAGCAGUAGUAGUAGUAGUACUAGUAGUAGUAGCAGCAGCAGCAGUUGUACUAGUUGUAGUAAUAGUAGUAGUAGUAGUAGUAGUAAUAGUAAUACUAGUAGUAGCAACAGCAGUAGUUGUACUAGUUGUAGCAGCAGUAGGAGUAGUAGUAAUAGUAGUACUAGUAGUAGCAGCAGCAGUAGGUGUACUAGUUGUAGCAGUAGUAGUAGUAGUACUAGUAGUAUUCGUUCAAUGACUAGAUAA
rnacentral:lncRNA from 8 species